rnacentral:sRNA from 2 species
AAAAAGCGACGCUAGGGUUCCGACCGGACAUCGAUUGCCGGUGCUGGUCCGAGAGCGGCGGACCUCCGAUAGGAGGUUACACGGCGGGAUAAAAGCCCGGGAGAC